rnacentral:misc_RNA from 1 species
UUGKUCACGACGUUGUAAAASGACSUYAUGCAUGAACGUAAWGCUCAUAACUUCCCUCUAGACCUAGCUGCUAUUGAAGCUCCAUCUACAAAUGGAUAAGACUUUGGUCUUAGUGUAUACGAGUUUUAAAAAUUGAAAGUAAGGGAGCAAUAACCAAUUUCUUGUUCUAUCAAGAGGGCAUUAUUGCUCCUUUACUUUUUUUUUUAAUUUAUUAAUAUAGUAGUAUUUUAUUCACAUAUCCUUUUUUCAUUACAACAAAAAUAAAAAGGUUCUUAUGGGUAAAAAGAAGAGUAUUUUUAUAGGUUGGUUCAUGAUUGAGUAUUGUCUUUCCGUUUCCUAUAAAUUUUGAAUUGUUAUGCCUUUAUGAAAUUGUAUUGUUUUUUUCUAUUUAAAAUUAAAAUUUGAAAAUUUUUACUCUCAGAAAUAAGAAAGAAAUAAUCACGAAUGUUUGAAAUUGAAUACUUUCUAAUGUAAGUAGUGGAUUAAGGGAAGGGGGCGGAUGUAGCCAAGUGGAUUAAGGCAKUGGAUUGUGAAUCCACCAUGCSCSCCUGUKUSAAAUUKUUGUCACUAACA